rnacentral:rRNA from 1 species
GUGGGGAAUAUUGGACAAUGGGCGCAAGCCUGAUCCAGCCAUGCCGCGUGAGUGAUGAAGGCCUUAGGGUUGUAAAGCUCUUUCACCGAUGAAGAUAAUGACGGUAGUCGGAGAAGAAGCCCCGGCUAACUUCGUGCCAGCAGCCGCGGUAAUACGAAGGGGGCUAGCGUUGUUCGGAUUUACUGGGCGUAAAGCGCACGUAGGCGGUUUGUUAAGUCAGGGGUGAAAUCCCGGAGCUCAACUCCGGAACUGCCUUUGAUACUGGUAAGCUAGAGUCCGGAAGAGGUAAGUGGAACUCCUAGUGUAGAGGUGGAAUUCGUAGAUAUUAGGAAGAACACCAGUGGCGAAGGCGGCUUACUGGUCCGGAACUGACGCUGAGGUGCGAAAGCGUGGGGAGCAAACAGGAUUAGAAACCCUGGUAGUCC